AUUGAACGCUGGCGGAAUGCUUUACACAUGCAAGUCGAGCGGCAGCGCGGGGGCAACCCUGGCGGCGAGCGGCGAACGGGUGAGUAAUACAUCGGAACGUGUCCUUAAGUGGGGGAUAGCUCGGCGAAAGCCGGAUUAAUACCGCAUAAGCUCUGAGGAGGAAAGCGGGGGCUCCGUAAGGACCUCGCGCUGUUGGAGCGGCCGAUGUCGGAUUAGCUAGUUGGUGGGGUAAAGGCCCACCAAGGCGACGAUCCGUAGCUGGUCUGAGAGGAUGAUCAGCCACACUGGAACUGAGACACGGUCCAGACUCCUACGGGAGGCAGCAGUGGGGAAUUUUGGACAAUGGGGCAACCCUGAUCCAGCCAUUCCGCGUGAGUGAAGAAGGCCUCGG
rnacentral:rRNA from 1 species